GCGGUGGAUGACGUGGAUUAAUUCGAUGCAACGCGAAAACCUUACUACCCUUGACAUGUCCGGAAUCCCGAAGAGAUUUGGGAGUGCUCGCAAGAGAACCGGAACACAGGUGCUGCAUGGCUGUCGUCAGCUCGUGUCGUGAGAUGUUGGGUUAAGUCCCGCAACGAGCGCAACCCUCGUCAUUAGUUGCCAUCAUUUGGUUGGGCACUCUAAUGAGACUGCCGGUGACAAACCGGAGGAAGGUGGGGAUGACGUCAAGUCCUCAUGGCCCUUAUGGGUAGGGCUUCACACGUCAUACAAUGGUCGGUACAGAGGGUUGCCAACCCGCGAGGGGGAGCUAAUCCCACAAAGCCGAUCGUAGUCCGGAUCGCAGUCUGCAACUCGACUGCGUGAAGUCGGAAUCGCUAGUAAUCGUGGAUCAGCAUGUCACGGUGAAUACGUUCCCGGGUCUU
rnacentral:rRNA from 1 species